AACGAACGCUGGCGGCAUGCCUAACACAUGCAAGUCGAACGAGACCUUCGGGUCUAGUGGCGCACGGGUGCGUAACGCGUGGGAAUCUGCCCUAGGGUGCGGAAUAACUCGGAGAAAUCCGUGCUAAUACCGCAUAAUGUCUUCGGACCAAAGAUUUAUCGCCCUGGGAUGAGCCCGCGUAGGAUUAGCUAGUUGGUGGGGUAAAGGCCUACCAAGGCGACGAUCCUUAGCUGGUCUGAGAGGAUGAUCAGUCACACUGGGACUGAGACACGGCCCAGACUCCUACGGUAGGCAGCAGUGGGGAAUAUUGGACAAUGGGCGAAAGCCUGAUCCAGCAAUGCCGCGAGAGUGAUGAAGGCCCUAGGGUUGUAAAGCUCUUUUGCCCGGGAUGAUAAUGACAGUACCGGGAGAAUAAGCUCCGGCUAACUCCGUGCCAGCAGCCGCAGUAAUAC
rnacentral:rRNA from 1 species